rnacentral:rRNA from 1 species
GAGACAGCAGUCGCCACGGGAAUACGGAGGAUCCAAGCGUUAUCCGGAUUUAUUGGGUUUAAAGGGUGCGUAGGCGGCCUAUUAAGUCAGGGGUGAAAGACGGUAGCUUAACUAUCGCAGUGCCUUUGAUACUGAUGGGCUUGAAUACACUUGAGGUAGGCGGAAUGUGACAAGUAGCGGUGAAAUGCAUAGAUAUGUCACAGAACACCAAUUGCGAAGGCAGCUUACUAAAGUGUCAUUGACGCUGAGGCACGAAAGCGUGGGGAUCAAACAGGAUUAGAUACCCCAGUAGUCCCUGUCUCUUAUAC